GAUGAACGCUGGCGGCGUGCCUAAUACAUGCAAGUCGAGCGAACAGAUGAGGAGCUUGCUCCUCUGACGUUAGCGGCGGACGGGUGAGUAACACGUGGAUAACCUACCUAUAAGACUGGGAUAACUUCGGGAAACCGGAGCUAAUACCGGAUAAUAUAUUUAACCGCAUGGUUCAAUAGUGAAAGACGGUUUUGCUGUCACUUAUAGAUGGAUCCGCGCCGCAUUAGCUAGUUGGUAAGGUAACGGCUUACCAAGGCAACGAUGCGUAGCCGACCUGAGAGGGUGAUCGGCCACACUGGAACUGAGACACGGUCCAGACUCCUAAGGGAGGCAGCAGUAGGGAAUCUUCCGCAAUGGGCGAAAGCCUGACGGAGCAACGCCGCGUGAGUGAUGAAGGUCUUCGGAUCGUAAAACUCUGUUAUUAGGGAAGAACAAAUGUGUAAGUAACUAUGCACGUCUUGACGGUACCUAAUCAGAAAGCCACGGCUAACUACGUG
rnacentral:rRNA from 1 species